UACGUAGGGACCGAGCGUUGUCCGGAAUCAUUGGGCGUAAAGAGCGUGUAGGCGGCUUGCUAAGUCUUGCGUGAAAUCUCGGGGCUCAACCCCGAGCGGUCGUGGGAAACUGGCAGGCUAGAGUGCGGGAGAGGAGAAUGGAAUUCCUGGUGUAGCGGUGAAAUGCGCAGAUAUCAGGAAGAACACCCGUGGCGAAGGCGGCUUUCUGGACAGAUACCGACGCUGAGGCACGAAAGCUAGGGGAGCAAACAGG
rnacentral:rRNA from 1 species